rnacentral:rRNA from 1 species
UACGUAGGGUGCAAGCGUUAAUCGGAAUUACUGGGCGUAAAGCGUGCGCAGGCGGCUAUGCAAGACAGAUGGGAAAUCCCCGGGCUCAACCUGGGAACUGCAUUUGUGACUGCAUGGCUAGAGUACGGUAGAGGGGGAUGGAAUUCCGCGUGUAGCAGUGAAAUGCGUAGAUAUGCGGAGGAACACCGAUGGCGAAGGCAAUCCCCUGGACCUGUACUGACGCUCAUGCACGAAAGCGUGGGGAGCAAACAGG